rnacentral:rRNA from 1 species
AACGAACGCUGGCGGCGCGCUUAACACAUGCAAGUCGAACGAGAAUCCGGGGCAACCCGGUAGUAAAGUGGCAAACGGGUGAGGAAUACAUGGGUAACCUACCCUUGAGAAGGGAAUAACCCGCCGAAAGGUGAGCUAAUACCCUAUACGCUAUCUUUUUUUCGAAAAAGAUAGGAAAGCCGGGUCGAGGACCUGGUACUCAAGGAGGGGCUCAUGUCCUAUCAGCUUGUUGGUGGGGUAACGGCCUACCAAGGCUACGACGGGUAGCUGGUCUGAGAGGAUGAUCAGCCACACUGGCACUGAGAUACGGGCCAGACUCCUACGGGAGGCAGCAGUGAGGAAUAUUGCGCAAUGGGCGAAAGCCUGACGCAGCGACGCCGCGUGGGGGAUGAAGGUUUUCGGAUUGUAAACCCCUUUCAUGAGGAAAGAUAAAGUGGGUAACCACUUAGACGGUACCUCAAGAAGAAGCCACGGCUAACUUCGUG